UCAUCUUUUGAAUUUAGGGUAAAAAAAGGGCUGGCUAGGUUAACUGGUGAAUAACUUUGUACUGUAGAUUUCGGAAGCUUUAUUUUGCUGGUGAAGUUGUGCGUUUACUAGUGAAAAAUAUGUUAAUCUUUGGAGUAUUCGUUUUUUUUGGGUGAAAUUUGUCAGUUUCAGUCAGAAAGCUCAACAGACAAUAUCCGUCUUCCAUAAACGUGACGACUGAUCAAAGUGGGAUUUGAGUUUAGUGGUGGAUAAGGAUCUCAGAGGAAUGUCUGACUUUAUGUAUGAGAGUCAUUACCUUCUAGUGCAAUGGUAAAAAAUCUUUGGGGUUGAAGUGUGCAAGAGCAUGAGCAUAGACACAGGCACAAGAUGACUGCUUUUUUUUUAAGUACUUUGUAAUGGUAUCGACACUUUUUGACACUUUUUGAUGUGUGAAUGCGACAUUUUUUUGACAAGGUAUCGACAUUUUUUUCUUUUCUAGACAUAAAGU